rnacentral:lncRNA from 1 species
AUGAAUGAACCCAGGACCGUCCCAUCCCCCGCAGGUGCUGCCCGGUACCUUGUGUCAGGGGCAAGGGGAGCGCAGAGACCCGCUUUCGGGAGACCCCGGCCCGGCCGCCGCCACGGCCCCCCAAGACAACAGCCACGGAUCACACCUAUGAGGUGGUCGGGGAGGCGACCGGACCCCGGGGGCCGGAGCCGGGACCGGACGAGGGGCUGCACUACGCGGAGAUCCGGCUGGGCGGCGGGGACCGGCCCGACCCCGACCCCGACCCCGACCCCGACCCCAAGAAGCCCCCGCGCCCGGCCCAUGCCGCCCAGACCGAGUACGCCCACAUCCGCUGCUCUCCGGACCCCCGGACCGCCCGGACCCCCCGGCCGGUCAGCAGCAGCGCCGGGACUCUGGUCUGAGCCCGGACGGACGAGAAGGACACGUCGGGCCCGAGACCUCCGCCCGCCGGCGGGUCGGUGGGGACGGGACCCCUGCCGAGGCCUGGGGACGGGGGCGCAGCACUGUCCCGGGACCCCCCGGCUGGAAGCUGAGCUUCCCGGAGUCCAGCUCGGGGCGGGGGGGGGGGCGGCGGCGCGGGCUGGUGACCGGGGGGGGGGUCGGUAGGGGGGUCCGGGAGGACCGGCCGGCCGCCGUCCGGGACGGAGGGUCCGGAGCCGGGGAGCUCCCCGCGGAGGGGCAAUAAACGGGGCUCGGAGCCUCCCGAGGGUGUGGCUGCCGUCUUUUCGACCGGCGCGGAGGCGGGUCCGACGGCUGGAACCUGGACCCGGACCUGGACCCGGAGCAGGACCCGGGGCCGGAGUCCGGGAGGGCGCGGAAGGGGGGGGGAGGGGAGGGGAGGGGGACCGAGGCGCCGGGGGGAGGGCGAGGUCAGCUCGGGUGAGCGAGGGGGCGGGGCCUGGGUGGGGGCGUGGUCAGCGCGCGA